GAGCAGUAUGUCGCAAUCCAAGAAGGAGGGAAGAAUGAGAUAGACGGAAUAGUAGACUACGAAUAAGAGUCCGAUAAUUACGAAUAAAUCCAUACUUAAUUACACUUAUCUACGGCAACAAAAUAACGAGAUAGAAACAUCUUAAUUUCUGAAGAGAAAAAUCAGAAUUAAAUAUGGACAAACUGGAGUCAUUAUUGGAUUUACUGGAUUUUGAGGACUUAGCAAUGAGAGACUGAUAUUACAACUACUCACGAAGUAUAGUCAUCAAUUACAUCACAGGUAGAUAUCAAAUUGGAUCGUGAUGUAAUUCGUAAAAAAGAUAAAUCCCAGACAGAACAAAAUAUUGAUUGUAAA
rnacentral:lncRNA from 1 species